GUUGUAGUCUGGAGAAGUGCUUUCCGCGCUGGACCGUGUAUAAGUCUCUUGGAACAGAGCGUCAUAGAGGGUGAGAAUCCCGUCUUUGACACGGACUACCAGUGCUUUGUGAUGCGCUCUCAAAGAGUCGAGUUGUUUGGGAAUGCAGCUCAAAAUGGGUGGUGAAUUCCAUCUAAAGCUAAAUAUUGGCGAGAGACCGAUAGCGAACAAGUACCGUGAGGGAAAGAUGAAAAGCACUUUGGAAAGAGAGUUAAACAGUACGUGAAAUUGCUGAAAGGGAAACGCUUGAAGUCAGUCGCGUCUGCCGGAACUCAGCCUUCCUUUUGGUUGGUGCACUUUCUGGUAGACGGGCCAGCAUCGAUUUUGACCGUAGGAUAAGGGCUGGAGAAAUGUGGCACCUUCGGGUGUGUUAUAGUCUUCAGUCGCAUACGUCGGUUGGGAUCGAGGACCGCAGCGCGCCGCAAGGCAGGGGUUCGCCCACUUUCGCGCUUAGGAUGCUGGCAUAAUGGCUUUAAACGACCCGUCUUGAAACACGGACCAAGGAGUCUAACAAACCUGCGAGUGUUUGGGUGGAAAACCCGAGCGCGUAAUGAAAGUGAAAGUUGAGACCUCUGUCGUGGAGGGCAUCGACGCCCGGACCUGACGUUCUCUGACGGAUCCGCGGUAGAGCAUGUUUGUUGGGACCCGAAAGAUGGUGAACUAUGCCUGAAUAGGGUGAAGCCAGAGGAAACUCUGGUG
rnacentral:rRNA from 1 species